rnacentral:rRNA from 1 species
CGAUCGUUCUUUUGCAUCAAAGAUUAACACAUGCAUGUGUCAGAUUAAAUGAAUUAAUCGUGAAUCUGCGAAUGGCUCAUUAUAUCAGCUAUAGUUUACACGGUAAUUGAAAGUUACACGGAUAACUGUGGCAAUUCUAGAGCUAAUACGUGCGUAAGAGCGUUUCUCCUCUCGGGGGGGAGCGCCGUAUUUAUUAGUCUCAAAACCGACUCCGUCCGUAAGGGCGGGUUUAUGGUGAAUUAUGAUAACUGAAGCGAACCGGUGCGCCCUCGCGGCGGCGGUGAACCGUUCAAGUUUCUGCCCUAUCAGCUUUCGAUGGUUGGGUAUUGGCCUACCAUGGCGUUGACGGGUGACGGAGAAUUAGGGUUCGAUUCCGGAGAGGGAGCCUUAGAGACGGCUCCUACAUCCAAGGAAGGCAGCAGUGGCGAAACGUACCCAAUCCCGAUUCGGGGAGGUCGUGACGAUGUAUAGUAAUGCGGUGUUUUUUUAAAUACUGCAAUUGCAAUGAGUACAAUUUAAACCCUUUAACAAGGAUCAAUUG